ensembl:snRNA Rnu6atac RNA, U6atac small nuclear
GAGCUGUAUGAAAGGAGAGAAGUUUAGCACUCACUCCCCUUGACAAGGGUGGAAGAGGCCUGUGCGCCUGACAACAGACAUAUAGUUAAGGCACCGCCACCGACUGCGUGACAUCUAACCACUGUGGUUU